AUGCAUGCUCCUCAGCCCCCAAAAGCAGAAGCCACGACCGCCUCCCCCGAUCUCCCAUGGCGUCGCGACUCUCCAACUCCGACGACGAGCUGCCUCCUCCGUUUCGAGCAAGACCUCCUCAACUUCGUGCUCACCAAAAUGGUUCCUGAAGGGCUUGGAGAGCAUGUUACAUCAUCCAAGAAAGCACAAGCUAAAUGGUAUAGGAAUAUCUCUGAAGCUUAUGUAAAAACAGAACCCCCUCCUAGAACAUUGGCAGAGGCUGCCAUGCUAGUUGCUACAGCUCUGGGCAGGAUCCAGGGAGCUAAUUUGGAGGGUGUCCUUGCCUACUAUGGCUUCCCGAUUCCAACGCCCCCUGUAGUCACCACAGAGCACCAUCCAGCAUCACUACCAGACGGCGUGCAGUUCGUCCUGAAAACUUUGCCGAUUUAUGCAAAGUGCAUUGGAGAUGGUGAUGGCUUUACUGCUUAUGUUGACACAGCAGAUCCAACGGAAUCAGCAAAUGUGCCACAGGAAGUGCGUGAGGCUGUCAAUGCAAUGUCACAAACACCCAAGCAUAGGAACAGCCAACAGAAAAGUGUACUCCAAAGUAAACUGAACAAAGCUGGUUAUAGGAUAAUAUAUACUUCAAAAGAUGAGAUCCUUGCAAGGCAAUACCGCUUCAGAUUGAGGGGCAUUGAUGCACCGGAGAUGGGAAUGCAAUAUGGGAAGGAGUCCCUGAAUGCGCUGGUGAACCUUAUCGCUGGCAAAAGUGUCAUGGUUUACGUAUAUGGGCAGGACCAGUAUGAUCGCUGUGUUGGAGAUAUCUAUUGUGAUGGUGUGUUCAUCCAGGAACAAAUGCUGAAGGAGGGUCAUGCAUGGCAUUACAAGAUUUACGACAAACGCAAAGAAUUUGCAAAAUGGGAGAUGAAAGCACGAGAUGCACGCCGAGGGCUUUGGGCAUCUGAUAACCCUGAGAAACCAUGGGAUUGGAAAAGGAAGCACAAUGUGAGACACGAGACAUCUGAUAACCUUGAUAAGACAUGGGAAUGGAGACGGAAACCGCACAAUGCAAGACACCAGAACACCCCAAUUCAGGUGACAUUGUGUACCUGA
rnacentral:rRNA from 1 species